GACGAACGCUGGCGGCGUGCCUAAUACAUGCAAGUCGAACGAGAAAUUCUUACACCGGAUGCUUGCAUCCACCGUAAGAUUUCGAGUGGCGGACGGGUGAGUAACACGUGGGUAACCUGCCCAAAAGAAGGGGAUAACAUUUGGAAACAAGUGCUAAUACCGUAUAACCAUGAUGACCGCAUGGUCAUGAUGUAAAAGGUGGUUUUGCUAUCGCUUUUGGAUGGACCCGCGGCGUAUUAACUAGUUGGUAAGGUAACGGCUUACCAAGGUGAUGAUACGUAGCCGAACUGAGAGGUUGAUCGGCCACAAUGGGACUGAGACACGGCCCAUACUCCUACGGGAGGCAGCAGUAGGGAAUCUUCCACAAUGGGCGCAAGCCUGAUGGAGCAACGCCGCGUGAAUGAAGGCCUUAGGGUUGUAAAGCUCUUUCAGCUGGGAAGAUAAUGACGGUACCAGCAGAAGAAGCCCCGGCUAACUCCGUGCCAGCCGCCGCGGUAAUAC
rnacentral:rRNA from 1 species